rnacentral:lncRNA from 1 species
UCUUAUAAUACUGGAGUUUUGUUAUUAAUUCAUUAGACUACUACAUAUAAGUUUGUUUUUUCUUGGUUAAGUACAAAAUAAAAAAAAAGGAAGAAGAGUCAAGUCAAAGAGAGAGGAAGAAAACAUGACGACGUUAGCAUCACACCUGAAGCCUGAAGACUGAAAGCUAACAAACAUCGAUUUGGUUACGUCUCUCUAAUAAUAAACACCCAAACCAACUACAUAUAUGAUAACCACCCAGAAC